UAACCAUUUGGAGCUAGCCGUCGAAGGUGGGACAAAUGAUUGGGGUGAAGUCGUAACAAGGUAGCCGUAUCGGAAGGUGCGGCUGGAUCACCUCCUUUCUAAGGAUAAUA
rnacentral:rRNA from 1 species